rnacentral:rRNA from 1 species
UGGGGAAUCUUGCGCAAUGGGCGAAAGCCUGACGCAGCAACGCCGCGUGAGGGAAGAAGGCUUUCGGGUUGUAAACCUCUUUCAGGAGGGACGAAGCUUCCGGGGUUAAUAGCCUACGGGGUGACGGUACCUCCAGAAGAAGCCCCGGCUAACUACGUGCCAGCAGCCGCGGUAAUACGUAGGGACCAAGUGUUGUUCGGAUUUACUGGGCGUAAAGGGCGCGUAGGCGGCAUGACAAGUCACUUGUGAAAUCUCUGGGCUUAACCCAGAACGGCCAAGUGAUACUGUCGCGCUAGAGUGCAGAAGGGGCAAUCGGAAUUCUUGGUGUAGCGGUGAAAUGCGUAGAUAUCAAGAGGAACACCUGAGGUGAAGACGGGUUGCUGGGCUGACACUGACGCUGAGGCGCGAAAGCCAGGGGAGCAAACGGGAUUAGAUACCCCGGUAGUCCCUAAGAGCGGGCUGGCAAGGCGCAU